UCCCCGGUGGUCCAGUGGCUAAGACGCUGCACUCCCAAUGCAGGGGGCCCAGGUUCAGUCCCCAGUCGGGGAA
rnacentral:tRNA from 1 species